CCAAAGGCUCUUUUCAGAGCCACCCACUUUGUUCUUAAGGAGAGCU
rfam:Chlamydotis undulata macqueenii contig32877, whole genome shotgun sequence.